CAGGCUGUGUGCUUGCUGGCUACUGCCGGCAGCCUGUGGGCUUGCUGGCUGCGGCUGGCUGUAAGCCUGUGGCUUGCUGUAGGCCUGUGGGCUGGCUACUGGCCUGUUGCUGGCUGCUGGCCUGGCUGGCCUGUGGUCUGGCUAACUGGUGGACUGUGGGCUGGCUGGCCGGCCGGCCUGUGGGCUGGCUGGCUUGCUGGCUACUGGAGCACUUGUAGAUUAUUUAAAGAAAUAAUCCAUGCACAAUAACCCCUACUGCUCUGUGUAGUGGUUAUGGUGCCAGGAGGGCCAGGACCCCCUCCCAGAGUAAGUAGUGAAACCGUUUAAAAACUGUUUGACAACUUACCUGGGGUCUGCUGAGAUAUGGGGCUGUAGUAGGGUAUAGGAGCAGUGGUGCAAUGUGUGAGGGGUGCAGUGUUUGUGAAAGGUUCAGUGUGUGUGUGGGUGGUGUAGUGUGUGAAUGUGUAGGGUGUGUUGGGCAAUGUGUGUAUGAGGGGGCUGUGUAUGUGUGUGGCAAUGUUAGUAUGGCGGUCUGUGUGUGUAUGGGUGGGCAGUGUAUGUGUGUGUAUGAGGCAAUGUGUGUAAAUGUGUAUGCUGUGUGUGGGGCCAGUGUGUGUGUGUGUAGCGGAGAGCUGAUUUCCCACAGCUUAACUCCACUGGUAUAUUAAAAGAAUGCAGGAACAAGUAGUAAAUUCAAGAGGGUAACCAGCACAAUCAGCAAUAAAAUCCAAUAGUAUCCCAUCACCUUUACCAAUCACUGGACGACAAACAGUAUCAGGAGUAGAACUGAAGUUUAAUGACACAAUUCCUGCUUUUAUGAGAUUCUCCCAUGCAAGGGAGGGACUCACCAUAAUUACUACAGUAACCAAUCACAUAGACGUUACCUCCCACACAUCUCCUCCCCUUAGCUUAACAGUUAACAUAAUUAUAAAGUACAUAUUUUUCC